AUCCUGCUAAGGACUGUGAACUUUGUUCUACAUGUCCUGGCUGUUGAGCAGGGCGGUGUCAGGAGCAGAUCUGGGUCAUUGGAGCAAGCCUCCUGGCCACGUGCAGAAGAUGGAAUGAAGGGGGCCGAGGUUAAGGUCACAGGGAACAGCUGGGAGGCAGCUGCCCGAGUUCCUGUGAGUCCUGAGAAGACUGCAGAGGGGCCGUGGGGCCGGACAGCCAGGGAUUCUGGGGCCAGAAGAGGCCUUGGUUGUGAGAGCGAUGUGAGAAAGGCACUUGAUAAGCUGCCUGCAGCAGUUUCUCCUAAGGGGUCUGCCAAAAACUGCGUGGGAUUUCAGGGUCUGGUUUUCUUCGCCUUCUUCAGGUCGGUUACAUUUCCCAGAAUGGUUCCCAGCGCUGGAGAUAAUUCCUUUUCGGAGAACCUACAUUUCUCACCUGCUGAUUGCAAUUAGCCACUGCCAGCUGGGGCCUGGUGUGCAGCUGAAAAGCUAACAAGAAGUGGAGACCACGCGGAACCCAGACAGGGCCGAGGAUGUGAAUAAAUACGGAAUGGUGCCCGUGUUUAUGAGUCGCUCCGCUGAAUUCCAGGUUUCCCGACCCUCUGGAUGGCCCUCCCUCUUCCGGCUCUGUGCUCCCCGCCCCUCCCCUACCAAUUUUUUUUUUUUUUUUUUUUUUUUUGUCUCUGGGUCUGUAGCCUACGUUUAACAUCACAGUCACGAAUUUACCACUAAAUACAUUUUGUUAGGCAAUAAACAGCCUCGGAAGAAAAAUGAAAUCGGACUAGGGCUUCUGUUCCAAUCAUGUUUGUGAGCUGUGCUGGAAUCAGGCAGGCCCUGCACGCAGGUCUUAGAGCUAACCUUGAAUAUGAGGACUGGCAGGGCCUGGAGAGGCCUUCAGGAUCACCUAAUCUGAACCCCUCAUUUUAUGCAUGACAACAUGAAGUCCCAGAGGGAGAGCAUGACUUUUCCAAAGUCUUAGAGGAAGUCACAGGGCUGGAUGAAGUCCAUGUCUCCUGAUGGCCAGCUCAGGACUCUAACCACUGAACUGUCUUGGCUUUGAUCAUCGUGGACAGCCAACUUCUAGAGUUUGUGAGGAAAGCAUCAAGGACGUUGCCAAGAGUUGGAAGGUAAGUCUCUGUUGGGCAGUGUGGUCUCCAACCCAAGGAUACGCUUGUUUCUUUCCUCGUGGGCCGGGCCUGGCCCCAGUACCAAGGUUAUGCCCCUGGCCAGUGUCAUCCAGGGUGGUACCCACGUUCCCAUG